rnacentral:hammerhead_ribozyme from 1 species
UUGUUGUCGAGAGAUGUGUGUCUCUCCUGAUGAGCUCAAAAGAGCGAAACAGGGU